CCUACGGGGGGCAGCAGUGAGGAAUAUUGGUCAAUGGGCGCGAGCCUGAACCAGCCAAGUAGCGUGAAGGAUGACUGCCCUACGGGUUGUAAACUUCUUUUAUAAAGGAAUAAAGUGAGGCACGUGUGCCUUUUUGUAUGUACUUUAUGAAUAAGGAUCGGCUAACUCCGUGCCAGCAGCCGCGGUAAUACGGAGGAUCCGAGCGUUAUCCGGAUUUAUUGGGUUUAAAGGGAGCGUAGAUGGGUUGUUAAGUCAGGUGUGAAAGUUUGCGGCUCAACCGUAAAAUUGCAAUUGAUACUGGCAGCCUUGAGUACAGUAGAGGUAGGCGGAAUUCGUGGUGUAGCGGUGAAAUGCUUAGAUAUCACGAAGAACCCCGAUUGCGAAGGCAGCUUACUAAACUGUAACUGACAUUGAUGCUCGAAAGUGUGGGUAUCAAACAGGAUUAGAUACCCCAGUAGUC
rnacentral:rRNA from 1 species